AAACCAGGUGAAUAUUUUUAUUGAAUUAAAAAAAAAAAAGGAGAAAGGUUUUUUGUCCAUUUAAUUCUCUAAAAUGUAAAAUUUAGAAAAUAUAUUUAAAGAACUCUUAACAUUGACUAGUCUGAGUCAAUAUUUUAUUGGAUUACCGGGUUUUAGACAAGAGCAUGAAAAAGUAAUGAAUUAACUGCCUUCUAUGGCAGUCUUUAACUCUUUUUAAGCCAGCAAAAGCUCCGCUACUCACUCUUUUAAAUAGAUCACAGCAACUGGAAUCAGAUGGUGCCAUUCUCAUCUUGUUGCUGUAUCGAUUGAGAUGAGAGGAGCUUCUCCGAGUCCCGUGGAGCCCAGACUCCGUUUGUCUGCUUCAGCUAAAGCUUGGGACUUGGGAGGGCGACGAGUGGUGGCGAAUGGCGAUCGGCGAGAGGGCGACGAGUGGACUGGGUCCAGUGCCGGCGGUUGUUCAAGUGGUGGCGUUGCUUGGGAGUUCAA